UAAGUUGUAUAUUUCCUUUGCCUUUCACUGU
rnacentral:piRNA from 1 species